AUUUUCAUUCAUUUGUAUAUUAAAUAGGAGUAAUAGAUUGAAACGUCAUACAAUGGCGAGGCUCAUGAAAUCACAUGUGAGGGUCUUCUGUAUAAGCUUUCUAUUGGUGUUUGUGUGUUAUUGGUGUGAAAAAAAUGAACACCAGCACACGCAAGCAUUUGGAGUUCCAUCGCCACCGAAAGACUGUACUCCACAUUGUUUUGAAUCACAAAAUACAAAGGGGUGGGUUUGUUGCGAUAAAACCUAUGGUAGUAAAGCGUCAUGCGAGGAAGUCUGUAAGACAAAGAAAAGUUGUUGUUAGGUACAAAAAUAACUGGUAAUGUUAAGGAUUAGUUAUAUUACAUAAUAAAGAUUAAAAAUAUAAUGUCAAUCUACACACUGACGUUGUUAAA